rnacentral:rRNA from 1 species
UACAGAGGGCGCGAGCGUUGUCCGGAAUCACUGGGCGUAAAGGGCGCGUAGGUGGCCACCAUAAGGCCGCGGUGAAAGUUCGGGGCUCAACCCUGAAUCGGCCGCGGCGACUGUGGGGCUCGGGUACUGUAGAGGCAGAUGGAAUUCCGGGUGUAGCGGUGGAAUGCGUAGAGAUCCGGAAGAACACCAGUGGCGAAGGCGGCUUACUGGUCCGGUUCUGACGCUGAGGCGCGAAAGCGUGGGGAGCAAACAGG